GCGAUCAGGAGACCUCUAAUCGGAAAAGACUACCCGCUGAGUUUAAGCAUAUCAAUAAGCGGAGGA
rnacentral:rRNA from 1 species